GCUGGAUGCUGACGAGCGGCGGACGGGUGAGUAAUGCGUAGGAAUCUGCCCGGUAGUGGGGGAUAACCUGGGGAAACCCAGGCUAAUACCGCAUACGUCCUACGGGAGAAAGGGGGCUUCGGCUCCCGCUAUCGGAUGAGCCUAUGUCGGAUUAGCUAGUUGGUGAGGUAAAGGCUCACCAAGGCAACGAUCCGUAGCUGGUCUGAGAGGAUGAUCAGCCACAUCGGGACUGAGACACGGCCCGAACUCCUACGGGAGGCAGCAGUGGGGAAUAUUGGACAAUGGGGGCAACCCUGAUCCAGCCAUGCCGCGUGUGUGAAGAAGGCCCUCGGGUUGUAAAGCACUUUCACCGAGGAAGAACGCCUAGCGGUUAAUACCCGCUAGGAAAGACAUCUCUCGCAUAAAAAACGCCGGCUAACUCCGUGCCAGCAGCCGCGGGAAUACGGAGGGUGCAAGCGUUAAUCGGAAUUACUGGGCGUAAAGCGCGCGUAGGUGGCUUGAUAAGCCGGUUGUGAAAGCCCCGGGCUCAACCUGGGAACGGCAUCCGGAACUGUCAAGCUAGAGUGCAGGAGAGGAAGGUAGAAUUCCCGGUGUAGCGGUGAAAUGCGUAGAGAUCGGGAGGAAUACCAGUGGCGAACGCGGCCUUCUGGACUGACACUGACACUGAGGUGCGAAAGCGUGUGUAGCAGACAGGA
rnacentral:rRNA from 1 species